GCAAGCAAUGUAGUUGUGACAUGUGUCACCCCACUGGUCAUCAGAGCUGAUUUAGGCUGAUCUGGCUGACUAAGCAAGUGUCUCCCUCCCUCACUGCUCAUUUUGUUUCUUUCCUGAAGGGACACACAGUCCUCAAAGGGGGUGGUGACCUUCCCCAAACAGAGGAGGAUUUGUCUGGCCCAGGGUAUAUAGUAGCUGCACUCCCCUGGUAGAACCUCCAAACAGCUCUUAAACAUGCAUAAUACUCUUUCAGAGACCUCUUGAGUUCGAUUCCCAGCAACCAUAUGGUAUCUCACAACCUUCUAUCCUGAGAUCUGAU
rnacentral:snRNA from 1 species